rnacentral:rRNA from 1 species
AUUGAACGCUGGCGGCAGGCCUAACACAUGCAAGUCGAGCGGAAACGAUCCUAGCUUGCUAGGAGGCGUCGAGCGGCGGACGGGUGAGUAACGCGUGAGAAUCUACCCAUGAGUGGGGGACAACCCGGGGAAACUCGGGCUAAUACCGCAUACGCCCUACGGGGUAAAGCAGGGGACCUUCGGGCCUUGCGCUGAUGGAUGAGCUCGCGGCCUAUUAGCUUGUUGGUAGGGUAACGGCCUACCAAGGCUUCGAUGGGUAGCCGGCCUGAGAGGGUGUACGGCCACACUGGAACUGCGACACGGUCCAGACUCCUACGGGAGGCAGCAGUGGGGAAUUUUGCGCAAUGGGCGAAAGCCUGACGCAGCGACGCCGCGUGGAGGAUUAAGGCCUUCGGGUUGUAAACUCCUGUCAGAGGUGAAGAAAGUCUCCUUCGGGAGGCCUGACGGUAACCUCAGAGAAGCCCCGCUAACUA